rnacentral:snoRNA from 1 species
ACUGGCAAGGAUGAUAUACACUUGCCCUCACUUAGACCAUAGUUUGUUGAUGAGAGAAUUGUUCUGAACCAGU